GCUGGGCGUGGUGGCGGGCGCCUGUAAUCCAAGCUACUCAGGAGGUUGAGGCAGGAGAAUUGCUUGAACCCAGGAGGCGGAGGUUGCAGUGAGCUGAGAUCACGCCACUGCACUCCAGCCUGGGUGACAGAGCAAGACUCUGUCUCAA
rnacentral:SRP_RNA from 1 species